GAUGACACUGGGUUACAACCAUCCCACACGAGGAGAGUGACAUGUCCCAACUUGCUUCUGGCCCAUGUUUUACAAGAAGCUUGUCCGGCAGGCAAAAUAGCCCUCAACACAGGAACACCUGUUGCAGCACCUGUCAGUAGCGUCUGGCACCCUGGCAGCUGACGUCUCAGUGCAGCCGGCAAGGACACUCUGGGAAGAGGACGCAGUGGCCUUAUGAGUGAACGACGGAGAAGCCGGAGGGAGGAGGCCUGGCCUGUCUGCCUUGGAAGCUAAUGAUGCCCAUUGUUUCUAUACCCACCGCCCAGGCAGCUGUCCAUCUGCCGAUGCUCCUAACAGUUCGCCCUCAGAAGACCACGAGGAAGCCUGGGGUGCCUGGCCAUUCAGAGGUCCUCAGUACACGGACAUCCCUUGGUAUCCUCAGAGAAUUGGUUCCAAGACCUCCUGCAAAGACCAAAAUCCACAGAUGCUCAAGUCUUUUAUAUCAAACGGUGUAGUAUUUGCGUGUAUCCUAUGCACAUUCUCUAGUAUACU